UACGUAGGAGGCAAGCGUUGUCCGGAAUUACUGGGCGUAAAGCGCGUGUAGGUGGUGGGACAAGUCUGCUGUGAAAGCGCCUGGCUUAACCGGGCGGGGUCGGCGGAAACUGUCCGACUCGAGGACGGUAGAGGGGGGUGGAAUUCCCGGUGUAGUGGUGAAAUGCGUAGAGAUCGGGAGGAACACCUGUGGCGAAGGCGGCCCCCUGGGCCGGCCCUGACACUGAGACGCGAAGGCGUGGGGAGCGAACGGG
rnacentral:rRNA from 1 species